rnacentral:ncRNA from 1 species
AUAAAUACGAAGAAUGGAAGAUGUUAAAGCAAAACAUUUAGAGAGCUGAUGGCUGGUGAAAAUCAGUAUGUUAAACUUUAAGAGAUGGCCCAGGAGUAGUUAUUUCAAAUAGUUAGAAAUAAUCGUUAACUGCGUUAAAGUUUUGAGUGACACAGCAAUGUGUAAAAAAGGUGGUACCGCGAUUAUUCGUCCUUUUA